ACUGGAAACUCGGGUCACACCCGGUCAGUCAGCAGGCAACAGUGGUGAAGUGAGGGUGUGCCGGCAUGCUGGACAUAAUCAAUUUGGCUAAUGGAGCUGAAGUUGUUCAUCAGAUGUGCCUGGUGAGAUGUCUUUGCAGUCCAAUAUGUCCGGGAAUAUCAGGCAGUGUGACCCACAGCGCUGGAGGUGCAGUCUCUACAUGCUCCUACUCAGUGGGUGACGAUGGCUUCACUGCCCUGGUGAUGCUGCAGCCGGGAGUGAAUCACAUAGUUGCUCAGUAUGGCACACACAUGGCAACCAGGCAGAUUGUCUUCUCUCCAAUUCAAAUUGAAAAAUUUGUCCGCCUUAUCUAUGUUACAAGUUUUGAUGAAGACAAAUUCCAGGUAUGCAAAAUUAUUUUUGUUGAAUUAGAGUUUGAUGCCCACAAUGAAGCGUUUUCUGUGGAAUUUAUUCUAUUUGCCAAUGAUUCAUGUUUGGAAGGUCAAUUCCUGAGCUCAUUUGUUAUAAGAUUUAUGUUCAGAAACAAACAAUUACCUACAUUUCUUUCAUUCUCUUAUCAUUACAGUGCUGAAAUACUUACAAGUAGGCUCAUUUCAUAUAUAAUGUAGGUAUCAUUUAUAUACCAGCAGUUGAACAUGGUCAAAUUGAUACUACUCAUAAGGAAUGUCAUAAUAGUUCUUAGUCAUUUAUUACCAUAGUUUUCUAUUUUAAUGGAUCCCAAUUUGCACUACAGGGCCCUAAAAAAUUACGCAAGAAAUGAAAUAAAAAGUUAUGCAACCCGCUCUGUAGGUAGAAACGUUACGUAACGUAAAUAAUACCUGAUUAGAUUUAUUAUUUAUGUUUAAAAUAAAUUUGUAGACUUGAUUUUCGAAGAAUAAACUACCUCAGCUCA